rnacentral:rRNA from 1 species
CAAAUCUGAAAAAAAGACGUCCCUAGUUCGGAUUGUAGGCUGAAACUCGCCUACAUGAAGCUGGAGUUGCUAGUAAUCGCGAAUCAGCAUGUCGCGGUGAAUACGUUCCCGGGCCUUGUACACACCGCCCGUCACACCAUGAGAGUUGGCAAUACCCAACGUACGUGAUCUAACCCGCAAGGGAGGAAGCGUCCUAAGGUAGGGUCAGCGAUUGGGGUGAAGUCGUAACAAGGUAUC